UGUCUUAUUCCAUAUAUUUUUUAGCUUAACUGCAAGAAAAGAUCACAACUGUAUCUCACUUCAGUUCCAGGUGAUGUUGACUAUCAAGUUAAAUGCUUUAACCGAGGCUCCUGUCGAUAACGAAUCAACCAAAAAGGUUGUUUUCCGAAAAAUGAAAGGGACAUCUGCCCCCAAAAAAGGAUGACAAUGAAAAAACUAAAGAAUUUAUUGGCCAUGUUAUAGGCGAACUAAAUAAAACAAAUGUUAACAAGGCAAUUCAUGGGAAAGUUUUGAGGCCUUUUGGAAGGCAAUAGAGACAAUGCUACCAGACGAUUCAAGUGAACGAUAAGAAGAACAGGAUUGUGACAAAUUUAAACUUACUUACUCAUAAAACAUAGUUACAUUUACAUGGAGUAAGAUUAUUAAGUCCUCUACUCUGCUAUUGGCAUACCCACCAAGG